AGAGUUUGAUCAUGGCUCAGGAUGAACGCUGGCGGCGUGCCUAAUACAUGCAAGUCGAGCGAACAGAUGAGAAGCUUGCUUCUCUGAUGUUAGCGGCGGACGGGUGAGUAACACGUGGGUAACCUACCUAUAAGACUGGGAUAACUCCGGGAAACCGGGGCUAAUACCGGAUAAUAUAUUGAACCGCAUGGUUCAAUGUUGAAAGACGGUUUCGGCUGUCACUUAUAGAUGGACCCGCGCCGUAUUAGCUAGUUGGUAAGGUAACGGCUUACCAAGGCAACGAUACGUAGCCGACCUGAGAGGGUGAUCGGCCACACUGGAACUGAGACACGGUCCAGACUCCUACGGGAGGCAGCAGUAGGGAAUCUUCCGCAAUGGGCGAAAGCCUGACGGAGCAACGCCGCGUGAGUGAUGAAGGUCUUAGGAUCGUAAAACUCUGUUGUUAGGGAAGAACAAAUUUGUUAGUAACUGAACAAGUCUUGACGGUACCUAACCAGAAAGCCACGGCUAACUACGUGCCAGCAGCCGCGGUAAUACGUAGGUGGCGAGCGUUAUCCGGAAUUAUUGGGCGUAAAGCGCGCGCAGGCGGUUUCUUAAGUCUGAUGUGAAAGCCCACGGCUCAACCGUGGAGGGUCAUUGGAAACUGGGGAACUUGAGUGCAGAAGAGGAGAGUGGAAUUCCAUGUGUAGCGGUGAAAUGCGCAGAGAUAUGGAGGAACACCAGUGGCGAAGGCGGCUCUCUGGUCUGUAACUGACGCUGAUGUGCGAAAGCGUGGGGAUCAAACAGGAUUAGAUACCCUGGUAGUCC
rnacentral:rRNA from 1 species